AUUCUGUGCAGAUCCAAUGUUUACGAUAUUGAGUUGCUGCUCCACCUGGCAUAGCUGGAGAGUUUUUCUGGCGAUACAAGAAUAAUAUCCGAGAUGAUUGCUGAAUAUGCGCCAGCAUGACUUCCAUAACUUCCAAAUGAUAUCAGCGUCUUAAAGGAGUGGUGGCGCAAAGACCCAAAAUCACAAAGAACAAAGAUAAGGACAGGACGUAGAAGGAGUGUAUUACAUCCUUCUAAGAAGGAAACUGGUUACACUUCUAAUCCGUUUGAAACAAGAACUUUGGACCAGUGAACACAGACUUGGAUGGCUCUCUAAUCGUAAGAGUUGGCAGCCUACAUUGAAGGUGCAGCCCAUCAGUGCAGGGCAGUUUUCUGUUUCGGCGCAGUCUCUGAAAGAACACGAUCUGUGAUUUUUGCCGCAGCAAGAUCGUGCUAAUUAAACACAAGGGGCAACAUGAAACUGGAGAUAAGUAACACAGUGGUUCAAGUCUACAAUUCCCUUUGGACAUGAAUGAAUUAGUCUGUGAAAUCAGAGCUCCCUGUCUCUCUUUGCUGGCAAUAAUAUGCAGAGUGAUUUCAGUCAUGAGUCAUGGCCAAUCACUUUCUAUCAUGGCAUGCAAACAGAAGAAAUGAAGAAAACUAAUCACUCCACCGAAACGAGCAAGACUCUUAAGUUAUGCCUCAGCAAGGGACACAAAUAGUGUUGAGGUAUGCAUUACUGGUCUACUCAAUGGCAACAAAAUUAAAUGAUUGUUUCAAAUGGGAAGUCAGUUUCAUUGUGUAACCAGGAAAUUUAGUCAGUUCUACUAACAAUACUCUGGAACAGAUAACUGUAUUUUAAGGGAGGAACUAUCAGUUUAGUUACUGCAGCGGAACUGAAAUUUUCUGUAAUUUGCGCGGAUUUAAGUUUAAGAGUUUAGUACUCAUAUAGGGCCUACUGACAUUUCCAAAAUCCAAAUGUAAGUUUGAAAGUGGAUGUAAACAGUGAAUUACACAGUAGCUUUGGGUGAUUAGUAUAUGGUACUCUUCCAUUAUACAGUGGCUACUAUGCAGUAAAGUUAAGUAAACUAUCUUGGUGAAGUUCGCAAGGUGAAACAUUGCUAAAACCUUCCAAGAGGUAGUGUUAAUAUAUAUUUUCAGUCAGUGAGUUGCAUAGGAGAAAUAUUGGUGGAAACACAGCAUACCAGCAUUCAGGUUCUUUAAGAUUAGUUGGAGACAAAAGUUUUAAAAAUUUUCAUUUACACAAAGGGGCGCAUAAGGCAAUCAUUUCUCUCUCAGCUAUUCAUAAACAAUUUUCUAGCCUUUGCACUUAUACCAUAUCCAUCAAGGUGUUAAGAUUCCUGCUUAUGACCUAAUAUGUAUGCAUGUGUGCAACAGUGACUGCUGUUGUUAUUUCUUUAGAUUAUAUAAUUCAACCUGAAUAUCUAUUUAUUAGUUUUAACUGCACUUUCAUAAUAUUUAAACAUUCACGAGCAAACAAUCAAACUGAAGAUUUUGAAUUAUUAUCAUACGGCAUUCAGCAUAAGCCAUUGAGACUGGUGAUACGCACAAUUUUUCAGAAAAAGGAAUUAUUCUAUUGUCAUAAAGUACUCCCUGUUGUAAGACUUCUGAGAAAAUUCAUAUAAAAUAAAGACACCUCCAGCAGCCCUGGACUGCUAAAAUUGCAUUAAUAAAUGUAAGGCACUAUGAGCACUUAGGUCUGUUUUUAGCAGGAUAAGAAAGAUUUAUCUUAACAAAACAAGGCAAAACUAUUUUCAUUACAAAUACUCAGAAAAAUAUUUGGCAAUUAUGCAUUAUAACUGUUUUACUAGUAAAGAUGACUUCAAUAAUAAGACAAUGUGUGGGUGUAUAUUAUUUCUGAAGUUUAUUUUAUCAGAUAAAUUUCUGUCAAUCAGUAAUCUAGUAAGUAAAAAAAGCUAAAUUUAUAGGUUGUUGUGCUUUCUGUUCCCCAGAAACAGUAGGAAUGCAUUUUUAGUUAUAUGGUGUUUGCUUGGCUUGUGGGUGUUGCAAUGAACACCUCUCUUGAUAUUUUGUCAAGGGCUGAAAUAUUUCACCUCAUUGUUUUAGAUAGCAGUGUGUGUGUGUGUGUGUGUGUGUGUGUGUGUGUGUGUGUGUGUGUGUGAGAGUGAGAGAGAGAGAGAGAGAGAGAGAGAGAGAAUUUCACUAAUGUAAAAUGUGCUAACUUGACUUUCACAAAGUUUUUUAAGGUACAGAUGAAAAUUUUUGAAUAUUCUCAUAGCUUACUCGUAGGUUUUAAUAUUAAUUACAGUCCAGUAAUCAUGCAAAAAACAAAUUUUGUAAGGACAACACCAAAAGAAUGUAACUUUCCUCCCUUCCUACCAUGAGCAUAUAUGAGCAAAUAACUGCAACAGACAUCAGAAAAGAAUGUUUACAUGAAGAACAAACAGAACAGAAAACGAUGAAACAAGGGAACAUGGGCAGAUCACGAUUUCAUAUCAACAAAUUACACAGUUAUGGAGAGAAAACCAACACAAGAACUAGAAUGUUUCUUGUACUGUAAACCAUCUUGGGGAGGGGUGUAGGGAGAUAACGCUCAACACAAAAGGCUGCAUCCUCUUACUGUGUGGCAAUGUUUUGAAAAUGAUGAAUACCUAAAAUAGGCAAGAAAUCCACUAUUUUACAUAGACUAAGCUCCAUCUGAACAGGACUUGAAGGCCCACUGGUACUGAGCGGUCACCGUGUUGACCACUCUCCCCACUGCUGUCAGUUUUCACUGCUUCCCAAUCAGGUGACUUCUCAAUUGGCCUAACAACAGCUGGGUGCACUCCGCUUGCCAACAGCUCUCAGCAGACUGGAUGGUGACCCACCCAAGCGCUUAGCCACGCCCGACAGCACCUAACUUCUGUGAUCUGACAGGACCUGUGCUACCACUGGGGCAAGGUCCUUGCUUAAAAUCCUAGUUACCAAUGACACCCAAGCUAUUUUUAGGAGACUUUGGUUUAGAAACAAUGAAGAUAUAUUAGGUAACUCCAGCUUACAUAAAGAACUAUGGGAAAAACAGAUGCAUUAAUCAGCCCUGGAAUCUCUGUGAAGAAAGACAAAGAGCAGGAAUAAGUAUAACUAUCACAUAAAUAAAACAACACAAUAAGCCAUUAAAUUGAUAAAGUAUUCAUCUGGAAAAUGAUUGCAAUACAGUUAACAAGAUGUUUCUAUCAUCUGGAGUAAAAAAAUGUAUUAAAAAUAGAAACCCGACAUUCUGCAAGUCUGAAAAUGGCAGUGUCAUUUCCAAAGUAAGUCAAGUGUUUCAAACAAAAGAGAAAAAACGAACAUCUCCUACCAAUUCACCUGUUUAAAUCUUAACCAAAGAGUCUUGUGUAAUCGAGAACAAACACGGAAAAUGUUCAUCUCAGCUCUGUUUCAGUCACUAUGACAUAAUAGAUUAUAGUGGCAACCUAGCUGAAAUUAAGGUAGAUGAAUAUCAAUAGCACACACCUUUAUGAAGAAAAAGAAGAAAUCUGUAUAUUGCUGUUCACCUCUUUUCACUCAGUUUUAUCUGUUACCUUAUCAACAGUACUGAUUUAUUCCUCCAGAAAUUGUUACAGAUGACAGGACACAAUGCUCUAUGGUAGCAGUAAGACCAGAAAGUAAUGGUCUAAUCCUAACAGAAUAAAAGCAUACCUUGCAAUAGCCAAUAUCUGUUGCACGUCUUGUGCAGCUCAUACCAAGAAUGAAACCCUAAACUUUCAAACAUUGCCUCUCAGAAAGUGACCAGUAGCUGUUACUAAAAAAAGCUUAAAGUAUUUUUCACUCCGUUAAUCAUAAUUUUCCAUCAAAUUUCACACUUUAUGUAAUGUAGUAGUGUCUCAUUUACUUGUAAUUAAAUUGUAACGAAGGACAUUAGAGAAGUUUUUUUAGAAUGAGUUAUGGUACAGAUGAGGAAAUAGUUACUAUGUAUGAGAAAACAGUUUCUGAGAAAUCUCCCUUGAUUGUGUAACUGCAGGGGAGGAAGUCACAUGAAUUCAAUAAGGAAAAUUCCAAUGACAUUUAAAAGAAAGACCAAAAUUGUACACACAGCACUAAGAAGUGCACUAGCAUUGGGCUGAAGACAUUUACAAAUGCCAUCAUAAAUGUCACCAAUAACUAUAAGACAAGCAUCUGUCUUGGGAAACAAUUUCAGCAUAAUGGCACUCUUCACCACAAUUAAUAGCUUAUAUAACGUCUUUCUAGCAAGUUCCUUCUUUUGAGAAUUAUUGUAGUAAAUAAGAUGGCAUGAGGGAUGAGGCAGCCAGUGGUGUGUGUGUGUGUGUGUGUGUCAAAAUGGGAGUGUACACACAUGCGACUAUUCAAAUCUCGGCAAUUGGAGAGAGCGAUUUCUUCCCUCCACUAUCUGGUUCAGGUUAUUACAAAUGUAUGCAAACUUGCAUAAUUCCGACAUCUUCACCUAAAUGUAUUCCAUCAAUAUACUUUUUGAUACCUUGCCACAGAAAUACCGAAUACAAAUAUUUUAUUUCAUUCAUAAUACAUGCUUGAUUUCACUUUUCUUUCAAAGAAAAUCAAAUAACUGCUUUUAAGAAGAUAGCUUCUAGGAGAACAGUUCCUUCAAACAGCUGGAACAGUUAUUACCAAAACUAAACAAUUUGUUUCACCUAUACUCCUAUAUUUUUGAUUUUCAUAAUUAUUUUGCUGAGCAUCGCAAAUACUGUUCAAAAUCAUAGACUCUUGCCAUCCAAUUUAUAGUUCACAAGAAAACUGUAAUAGAAAGACCUAUCAUGAUUCGAACAUAUGAAAGUCUACCAAAUCUGUUUUUAUGCAGUAAUAUUUAUGAGGUAGGUAUUUAAUUUUGAACAUUGAUUAAAUACUUUGUCAAAAACAAAUUGAAAUAUGGUUUAUCUCAACAUAUCAAACUAAAACAGCACAAAGUACUGACAUACUGCAAUGCAACACAAUUCAGAUGCAUAUCAGAAACUUUUUAACUCUAAUCAUUAUUUUAAACUAUCAUUAUCAGGAUCUAAGACAACAUGUGAACAUUAGCUGCCAUAAAUAAGUGUCAAGCAGCUAUUCCACUCAAUUUAAAACCAUUGUAACUAACUUCUAGUAUAAAUGCAUCUCCAAUUUUAAAGAAGGCAUAAUUAUAAGACCACAAGACAAAGUGGAAAAGUUCUGAACACUACUCAUCUUCUCUCCUGCCACCCUCUCCCUC